AAGGGUAGCAUACGUGCUCACUAUCGUACACCAAAGUUAGCACCAUCCAUGUUGCGGUUCGGAAGACGGCCCUAUGUUCAGUAAACUGCUUUUAUUCGGCAAAAAACCUACUUACGUGGCUCAGAGGAAUGUGCGGUAAGAAUAAGGAUCGGCUAACUCCGGGCCAGCAGCCGAAAAAGUACGGACGCACAAGCGUUAUCCGUAUUUAUUGGGUUUAAAGGGUUCCUAGGUGGUUUUUUAAGUCAGGGGUGAAAGACGGCAGCUUAACUGUCGCAGUGCCCUUGAUACUGAAGAGCUUGAAUCCACUAGAGGUAGGCGGAAUGUGACAAGUAGCGGUGAAAUGCAUAGAUAUGUCACAGAACACCAAUUGCGAAGGUGCUUACUAUGGUGGUAUUGACACUGAGGCACGAAAGCGUGGGGAUCAAACAGGAUUAGAUCCCCCGGGGAGA
rnacentral:rRNA from 1 species